UACCCUAGGGUAAUAUAUUUUGAAGUCAUGGAAUAAUCCCUUUCUCACAAUCUUGUCAGCCGUUGCUCUCCUCUUUACAAAUGUGAAAAGCUUUCUCUCCCUUCUCCACUAUUGUUGAAGAUUAAGAUUUCUAAUCUCUCUCAUAUUCAAUAACUGUGAAAAAAUCAAGAUUAAGGGAUGCGAUGAUGAAGUUUAUCAUUUCAUAACUAAUGACUUUUCUUGAAUUACUUAAAAUUCCGAGAAAAAUAAAUGUUCAUUCAGCCCAAAAAAGCUUAAUACUAGGUAUGGGAAAUGUUAAUGAAUUUCUUAGAGAUGAAUUAAGUUGUUCUGACCAACAUAGGAUGGAUAAGAGUACUUUUCACAAGUUAUGUGAUUUGCUUAAAAAUCAUGGUGGUUUAAAGGUGUCAAGAAAUAUAUUUGUGGAACAGAGAGUUGCAAUAUUUUUAAACAUAUUGGGCCAUGAUCAAAAUCAAAGGUUGAUUGUUAGAUGUUUGAGAAGAUCAAAAGACAAUUACUGGGAACUUCUGACAAAUACUGAGGUGUGUUUUGCGAUUGCACAACAUCCUAUUGAAAACUCCUGAACCUAUCCCCGAGGAUAGCAAUGAUGAGAGAUGGAAGUGGUUUAAGAGUUGUCUUGGGGCUUUAGACGAAACAUUCAUUAAACUAAAAGUUCGAGAGGUUGACAAGCCUCGGUAGCGAACAAGAAAAGGUGACAUUUAAACUAAUGUAUUGGCAGCUUAUUCGGCAGAUAUGGAGUUUACCUAUGUUUUACCGGGUUGGCAAGGCUCUGCAGCUGAUAGUAGAAUCCCAAAGGAUGCCCUUUUAAAAACUCAUACAAUUAGGAUUCCUACCUAUCUUAACAUCUUAAGUUAUGAAUGUAGAUUAAUGAUGAACUUUUUUAUCAAUUUUCUUAGAACCUUAUUACUUAGUUGAUGUUGGAUAUACAAAUGGAGAAGGCUUUUUGGCCCCAUAUAGAGGCCAAAAGUAUGAUUUAAAAGAAUGAAAAGAUGGUUACAAACCAAGAACAUCACUAGAGUAUUUCAACAUGAAACACUCGGCUGCGAGAAAAUUUAAUUGAAAGGUGUUUUGGUUUGUUAAAGAAUAUGAGAUGGGCAAUACUUUGCAAUUCUAGCUUUUAUGAAGCUGAAAAACAUGCCAAUAUUAUAUCUGCAUGUUGUCUUCUCCAUAAUCUUAUUCGUAGAGAAAUGAAGUUUGAUCCACUUGAGCCUUUGUUGGAUACUGAUUAUGGACGACAAUUGAUGAAUGUUGCUGAUGAUGGCGACAAUAUUGAUGUAGUUGAAUCAUCUAUCGCUUGGACUCUUUGGAGAGACAAUCUUGCUCAUCAAAUGUUUGAAAAUUGAAGGCUUCGUAGGGGAACACAAUCAACUAUAAUUUGAUUAUGUUUCAUGUUAUUGCAAAAUUGUAUUGUGAAUGUAAUGUGAAGUUUUGAUACUAAGAAACUUUGAUAUAAUGUAUUGUUUAUAAUGAGCUAUGUUUUAAUGAUAUUGCUUUACUGAUCUUUUUUAAUGAGUUUGUUAGGUUACCCAAUGUGCAAAGUAAAUUUCUCCACUUUAUUUUAUGGCAUGUUGUAUAACGAGCUUGCUAUUUGAAUAUUCCAUGAUUAUGCCUAUAUGGUCUCGUUGAGCUCGCAGAAUACUAUGCUAUGAGCGGAAGUGGAGCAAGUGUUGACAAGAAUACUCAAAGGAGAUGGACUUAUGAAGAAGAUCAACUUUUGGUGAAAUUGUUGGUGGAAAUGUUUGCUGGAGGGAAAUGAAAAGCCGAGAAUGGUUUUAGAAGUGGUUAUUUGGCGCGUCUGAAGAAGUUAUUUGCUGUGAAACAAUGUUGGAAAAAAUAAAGAAAUACAAAGUAUGCAAAAAAGAUUUAGAAACAAUGUUGGAAAAAAUGAUUGAAAGCAGUAAUGCACAAAUAGAGAAGUUGGUUUCGGUAUUGGAAGCUCCAAAGAAUUCUAAAUCCGAUUUGCAUGAAGAAUUAGGGAAAGAUCAUGGCAUUUCAAGAGCUCAAGCAUUAAUCUUGUGUAAGAAGAUGAGGAUGAUAUUGUGAUAUUUCGUGAUUUGCAAGACGAAGAUGAAAAAUAUGAUUUUCUUAUAAUGAUUUUAAAUCAAGUGUAAAGUAAUUUGUUGUUAUGAACUUUUGUUAAGUGUUUGAGAAAUAUGACUGUAUUUUCUCUUGGAUUUUUAUUAAUUUUCUAGUAUAAAUACCAAAUCAAGAAAAUUUUAUCCCAUAAAGUAUCUCCCAUAGUACAAGGUCCCAUGGUACUCUUUCUUCCCAAAUUGAUUACCCUGUAAAUAUUAUAUUGUAUUCCAGGCAGACCCUACGAGUUGAUUUGUUCAAUCCUCUGCUUCAAAAUCUCUUUUAAAGUUUUGAAUUUCGGCUUAGAAGCAGUUUCCUUACUUAGAUAU